rnacentral:rRNA from 1 species
AUGACGUCAAUCAUCAUGCCCCUUAUGACCUGGGCUACACACGUGCUACAAUGGUUGGUACAACGAGUUGCGAGUCGGUGACGGCAAGCUAAUCUCUUAAAGCCAAUCUCAGUUCGGAUUGUAGGCUGCAACUCGCCUACAUGAAGUCGGAAUCGCUAGUAAUCGCGGAUCAGCACGCCGCGGUGAAUACGUUCCCGGGCCUUGUACACACCGCCCGUCACACCACGAGAGUUUGUAACACCCGAAGUCGGUGAGGUAACCUUUUGGAGCCAGCCGCCUAAGGUGGGAUAGAUGAUUGGGGUGAAGUCGUAACAAGGUAACCGUUA